GUUGGCCAUUUCUACCACCAAU
rnacentral:snRNA from 1 species